GAUGAAGAACGUAGCGAAAUGCGAUACUUGGUGUGAAUUGCAGAAUCCCGUGAACCAUCGAGUCUUUGAACGCAAGUUGCGCCCGAAGCCAUUAGGCCGAGGGCACGCCUGCCUGGGCGUCACACGUCGUUGCCCCCCCAUCUACUCCUUCGGGAUUGCGGGGGGCGGAUGAUGGCCUCUCGUGCGCCUCGUCGCGCGGUUGGCCUAAAUGCCAAGUCCUCGGCGACGCACGCCACGACAAUCGGUGGUUGCGAAACCUCGGUUGCCUGUCGUGCGCGGUCGUCGCGCAUCGAGGGCUCGAAAAAAUUGCCGGGCUUCGGCUCGACUUUCAACGCGACCCCAGGUCAGGCGGGGUUACCCGCUGAAUUUAAGCAUAUCAAUAAGCGGAGGA
rnacentral:misc_RNA from 1 species